rnacentral:rRNA from 1 species
CCUGUGAGGGUUGCUGGAGGUAUCAGAAGUGCGAAUGCUGACAUAAGUAACGAUAAAGCGGGUGAAAAGCCCGCUCGCCGGAAGACCAAGGGUUCCUGUCCAACGUUAAUCGGGGCAGGGUGAGUCGACCCCUAAGGCGAGGCCGAAAGGCGUAGUCGAUGGGAAACAGGUUAAUAUUCCUGUACUUGGUGUUACUGCGAAGGGGGGACGGAGAAGGCUAUGUUAGCCGGGCGACGGUUGUCCCGGUUUAAGCAUGUAGGCUGGUUAUCCAGGCAAAUCCGGAUAAUCAAGGCUGAGGUGU